GGCCAAAGCUCAGGGUGGAGCAGUUUUUCAGAUCAACGGGAAUCAUGAGACCAUGAAUGUGGAAGGAGAUUUUAGAUAUGUUGAUUCAGGGGCAUAUGAUGAAUGCACUGAUUUCCUGUCAUACUUGGAUGACUUCAAAUAUGACUGGGAAAAUGCUUUUGCUGGUUGGAUUAGAGUCUCUAAAACACGGAAAGAAGAUCGGAAAUUGUCUCCAAAUUAUUGGGGUGCUUGGAAUCUAGUGAAGAGGCAAAAGGGGGUCAUUGCCAGAUCAAUAUUGUUGAGACCAGGCGGUCCAUUGGCAUGUGAAUUAGCUCGGCA
rnacentral:misc_RNA from 1 species